ACCGGAUGCGGAUCUCGAAAGCCUGUCCCAGUUCGGACUGGAGUCUGCAACCCGACUCCACGAAGUUGGAAUUGCUAGUAAUCGCGGAUCAGCAUGCCGCGGUGAAUACGUUCCCGGGCCUUGUACACACCGCCCGUCACACCAUGAGAGUUGGGAAUACCCGAAGCCUGUGAGCUAACGAAAGAGGCAGCAGUCGAAGGUAGAAUCAAUGAUUGGGGUGAAGUCGUAACAAGGUACC
rnacentral:rRNA from 1 species